AGACCUAGGAACUGUAGCAUUUCAGGCGGUAGGGUACGUUUGCUUCAAGCACUACCAAAUCGACUUGGUUCGCUCGGCGCGGCGCGGCGCGGUUUCGUCCUUCCCGUGGUGUGCGGUUUCGAAAUCUCUAGGGUUUCGUUGGUUUAUGCGGGAAAUCGGGUUUGAUGCGAGGCGAUUGCAGUUACUUCACGGGGGUUUCAGGUUAAUGUCGCGUUAGGCCACAGCCAAAUUUUUGGUGAGGUUUAAUUGUUUGAUUUGUAGCCAUCAUGACUACCAAAAUUUUGGCAAACCUUUUGGGCCUUGAUUUGGUUCGUAGCCACUAGGUAUGUUUGCAAACUUCCCGUGAUCUGGUGAAUGUUGAUUGGCUUCUCCUAAUUGCUCUGUUACCACCACUAGUCCACUGCUAUGCCGCCGUCACCAUGAAAUUUGCGGAUAAUGGAAGCAAACUCGCGUGAUUUUCUUGUACGAGGGCAUCUACACUCCCUCAGGAACAAAACACCACGGGCGUAUCGAUCACCAUAUCGUUAGAGUUAUAGUUUUGCUGUGUUGAUGAAGCCAAUAUUUAUCUUCUGUACUGUCAUCUCUCUGAAGUGUAUAAAUAUGACGCUGGAAUGGUGCGAACACUUGAGAGUAAGGUGAACACGCUGCUUUCAAUUGCUAAAAGGUCCCACGACGUGACAUCAGUCCCGACUCCAUAUGGGUCCAUCAAUGUAUUGGCGGUCCUCUCUUUCAUAGGUGUUCUGUAUGAUCGCUUUAAGAAGUAAUAAAGUGUAUAUAAGUUUCUGCAACGGAUACAGGACAAGGGAAGAUAUUAGAGCUUUCUUUUACUCUUCAUAACACCCUCGGAGAAAGAACACCCCCGGCUUUAUACCAUUUGAUUGAUAAUGCUGUGAUUUGUGGAAGAUACAGCGGAUUUAAGAGUACUUAGGACUAGUGUUUGCCUGGGACUUCGUCAAGCGUAUCUUGACGUAUCUUGACUUGUGGCGUGACUAUUUCUCCUCUUUAUUGUAGACUUGUUUCCAUUAAAUAAACUAGUACAGUGUCCGUGCAUUGCUACGGGACGACGGAAUCACAAAUA